rnacentral:rRNA from 1 species
AGUGAACGCUGGCGGCAUGCUUUACACAUGCAAGUCGGACGAGUGGCGAACGGGUGAGUAACGUAUCGGAACGUACCGAGUAGAGGGGGAUAACUGUCCGAAAGGACAGCUAAUACCGCAUAUCAUUCGAGCGGCCGAUGUCGGAUUAGCUGGUUGGGGGGGUAAAGGCUCACCAAGGCGACGAUCCGUAGCGGGUCUGAGAGGAUGAUCGUCCACACUGUGACGUAGACACGGCCCAGCCUCCUACGGGAGGCAGCAGUGGGGAAUUUUGGACAAUGGGCGCAAGCCUGAUCCAGCCAUGCCGCGUGUAUGAAGAAGGCCUUCGGGUUGUAAAGUACUUUUGUCGGGGAAGCGUUACCUGAAGAAUAAGCACCGGCUAACUCCGUGCCAGCAGCCGCGGUAAUUC